ACCAGGAUGGCUGAGAGGUUAAGGCGUUGGACCUAAGAUCCAAUGGACAAAUGUCCUUGUGGGUUAGAGCCCCACUCCUGGUA
rnacentral:tRNA from 1 species